rnacentral:rRNA from 1 species
UUCCAGACUCCUACGGGAGGCAGCAGUGGGGAAUAUUGCACAAUGGGGGAAACCCUGAUGCAGCGACGCCGCGUGAGUGAAGAAGUAUUUCGGUAUGUAAAGCUCUCUCAGCAGGGAAGAAAAUGACGGUACCUGACUAAGAAGCCCCGGCUAACUACGUGCCAGCAGCCGCGGUAAUACGUAGGGGGCAAGCGUUAUCCGGAUUUACUGGGUGUAAAGGGAGCGUAGACGGCAUGGCAAGUCAGAUGUGAAAGCCCGGGGCUCAACCCCGGGACUGCAUUUGAAACUGUCAGGCUGGAGUGCAGGAGAGGUAAGUGGAAUUCCUAGUGUAGCGGUGAAAUGCGUAGAUAUUAGGAGGAACACCAGUGGCGAAGGCGGCUUUCUGGACUGAAACUGACGCUGAGGCACGAAAGCGUGGGGAGCGAACAGGAUUAGAUACCCCCGUAA